rnacentral:pre_miRNA from 1 species
CUGGAGCCAACGUUUCGACAAGUGGACUUGUUUUCGUCCUGGCGAAGACAAGUCCACUUGGUCGAAACGUUGGCUCCAG